rnacentral:RNase_P_RNA from 1 species
GAAGCCCGCCAGACCGCCGCUGGUGCAAGCCGUGGAAACACCGCACUGGAGGAACGUCCGGACUGCACAGGGCAGCGCAGGAGCUAACGGCUCUCCACCGCAAGGUGAGGAUCAGAGCAACAGAGACGAGUCGCCCGGGGACUUUGGCGCGCGCCGUGUGUGCACGCCGGGGCCGCCGGGCGGGUGAAACGGGCAAUCUCUGCGCGCAGCAACAUCAAGUAGGUUGGCUUUGAGGCGGCCCGCUGAGCCAACGGGUAGAUGGCGCCGAGCCGGGCGGGCAACCCCCGGCCCAGAUGGAUGGCGGUCACGCCAUGGCGCGCAAGCGCCGUGGCGCACAGAAUCCGGCGUACCGGCGGACUUCACAU